rnacentral:sRNA from 1 species
GAUAAAAAAAAGACCGAAUACGAUUCCUAUAUUCGGUCCAGGGAAAUGGCUCUUGGGAGAGAGCCGUGCGCUAAAAGUUGGCAUUAAUGCAGGCUAUUUGCCUUGCCUUUUAAGAAUAGAUUACCGUGUCAGCUUUUCCAGUGU